UACGAAGGGUGCAAACGUUGUUCGGAAUUACUGGGCGUAAAGCGCGUGUAGGCGGCAACGCAAGUCGGAUGUGAAAGCCCAUGGCUCAACCAUGGAAGUGCACCCGAAACUGCGUUGCUAGAGUCUCGGAGAGGAAGGUGGAAUGCUUGGUGUAGAGGUGAAAUUCGUAGAUAUCAAGCGGAACACCGGUGGCGAAGGCGGCCUUCUGGACGGUGACUGACGCUGAGACGCGAAAGCGUGGGGAGCAAACAGG
rnacentral:rRNA from 1 species